GAUGAACGCUGGCGGCGUGUCUAAGGCAUGCAAGUCGAACGGACUGUUAUUUGUAGCAAUACUUAGAACAGUUAGUGGCAAACGGGUGCGUAACACAUUGGUAACCUGCCUCAAAGUCGGGCAUAAUCCCGCGAAAGUGGGACUAAUUCCACGAUAGUCAUCGAAGGUGAGAUUCCUUCGAUGUAAAGUCGCAAGACGCUUUGAGAGGGGCCUAUGGCCUAUCAGCUUGUUGGUGAGGUAACGGCUCACCAAGGCUAUGACGGGUAGGGGUGUGAGAGCACGACCCCCUCCACUGGACGUGAGACACUGCCACGACACCUACCGGUGGGCGUGCAGUCG
rnacentral:rRNA from 1 species